rnacentral:rRNA from 1 species
CCUACGGGAGGCUGCAGUGGGGAAUAUUGGGCAAUGGGCGCAAGCCUGACCCAGCAACGCCGCGUGAAGGAAGAAGGCUUUCGGGUUGUAAACUUCUUUUGACAGGGAAGAGUAGAAGACGGUACCUGUCGAAUAAGCCACGGCUAACUACGUGCCAGCAGCCGCGGUAAUACGUAGGUGGCAAGCGUUGUCCGGAUUUAAUGGGUGGAAAGGGCGUGUAGCCGGGUUGACAAGUCAGAUGUGAAAUCCUGUGGCUUAACCGCAGAACUGCAUUUGAAACUGUUGAUCUUGAGUACUGGAGAGGCAGACGGAAUUCCUAGGGUAGCGGUGAAAUGCGUAGAUAUUAGGAGGAACACCAGUGGCGAAGGCGGUCUGCUGGACAGCAACUGACGGUGAGGCGCGAAAGCGUGGGGAGCAAACAGGAUUAGAUACCCGGGUAGUC